CACGUGGGCAAUCUGCCCUGCACUCUGGGACAAGCCCUGGAAACGGGGUCUAAUACCGGAUAUUGACCUUCACGGGCAUCUGUGAGGUUCGAAAGCUCCGGCGGUGCAGGAUGAGCCCGCGGCCUAUCAGCUUGUUGGUGAGGUAAUGGCUCACCAAGGCGACGACGGGUAGCCGGCCUGAGAGGGCGACCGGCCACACUGGGACUGAGACACGGCCCAGACUCCUACGGGAGGCAGCAGUGGGGAAUAUUGCACAAUGGGCGAAAGCCUGAUGCAGCGACGCCGCGUGAGGGAUGACGGCCUUCGGGUUGUAAACCUCUUUCAGCAGGGAAGAAGCGAAAGUGACGGUACCUGCAGAAGAAGCGCCGGCUAACUACGUGCCAGCAGCCGCGGUAAUACGUAGGGCGCAAGCGUUGUCCGGAAUUAUUGGGCGUAAAGAGCUCGUAGGCGGCUUGUCACGUCGGUUGUGAAAGCCCGGGGCUUAACCCCGGGUCUGCAGUCGAUACGGGCAGGCUAGAGUUCGGUAGGGGAGAUCGGAAUUCCUGGUGUAGCGGUGAAAUGCGCAGAUAUCAGGAGGAACACCGGUGGCG
rnacentral:rRNA from 1 species